UGAUUAUAUGUCAUUGUGACUUAUUCUGCUUAGUUCUACUCAGCUUUUGCAAGCCUUUAAACAGAUAAAAACAUUUUGAAAAGUGUGAAGCACGAGUAAUGUUUACAUUUCGCAUCGCCCUUCAUCGGUAGUUGACCUGUCGAAUUGUGUUUUCGUUAAAUGCCCAGAAUAUACAGAAUAUUAGGCUGAUUUCAAUUGGAAUGAGAAUCAAUUUAUAGUUAAAA